rnacentral:rRNA from 1 species
CCUACGGGGGGCAGCAGUGAGGAAUAUUGGUCAAUGGACGGAAGUCUGAACCAGCCAUGCCGCGUGCAGGAAGACGGCUCUAUGAGUUGUAUACUGCUUUUGUACAAGGGUAAACCUGAAUACGUGUAUUCAGCUGAAAGUACUGUACGAAUAAGGAUCGGCUAACUCCGUGCCAGCAGCCGCGGUAAUACGGAGGAUCCAAGCGUUAUCCGGAUUUAUUGGGUUUAAAGGGUGCGUAGGCGGAUUGAUAAGUUAGAGGUGGAAUGUCCGAGCUUAACUCGGGAACUGCCUCUAAUACUGUUGAUCUAGAGAGUAGAUGCGGUAGGCGGAAUGUAUGGUGUAGCGGUGAAAUGCUUAGAGAUCAUACAGAACACCGAUUGCGAAGGCAGCUUACCAAUCUAUAUCUGACGUUGAGGCACGAAAGCGUGGGGAGCAAACAGGAUUAGAUACCCUAGUAGUC